CCUACGGGUGGCAGCAGUGGGGAAUAUUGGACAAUGGGCGAAAGCCUGAUCCAGCCAUGCCGCGUGUGUGAAGAAGGCCUUCGGGUUGUAAAGCACUUUCAGUGGGGAAGAAAGCCUUGGGGCUAAUACCCUCGAUGAAGGACAUCACCCACAGAAGAAGCACCGGCUAACUCCGUGCCAGCAGCCGCGGUAAUACGGAGGGUGCGAGCGUUAAUCGGAAUUACUGGGCGUAAAGCGCGCGUAGGCGGUCUGAUAAGCCGGUUGUGAAAGCCCCGGGCUCAACCUGGGAACGGCAUCCGGAACUGUCAGGCUAGAGUGCAGGAGAGGAAGGUAGAAUUCCCGGUGUAGCGGUGAAAUGCGUAGAGAUCGGGAGGAAUACCAGUGGCGAAGGCGGCCUUCUGGACUGACACUGACGCUGAGGUGCGAAAGCGUGGGUAGCAAACAGGAUUAGAUACCCUGGUAGUC
rnacentral:rRNA from 1 species